AUUCAUUUGAGUUUUAGCCUUGCGSCCGUACUCCCCAGGCGGCCAACUUAGCGAGUUAUYUGCGGCACCGACGGGGUUGAGACCGCCAGCGCCUAGUUGGCAUCGUUUACGGCAUGGACUACCGGGGUUUCUAAUCCCGUUCGCUCCCCAUGCUGUCGUGUCUGAGCGUCAGGGCUGACCCAGGUGGCCGCCUUCGCCUCUGGGGUUCCUCCGGAUCUCUACGCAUUUCACCACUACACCCGGAAUUCCACCACCCUCUGUCAGCCUCGAGCCGAACAGUCUGGCAUACCCUUGCCCGGUUGAGCCGAGCGCUUUCAUACACCACUUGUUCAGCCGCCUGCACACCCUUUACGCCCAGUAAAUCCGGAUAACGCUUGCCACCUACGUUUUACCGCGGCUGCUGGCACGUAGUUAGCCGUGACUUGUUCGCGCGGUACCGUCCUUCCUCGUCCCGCGCCAAAGCAGUUUACGACCCGAAGGCCGUCAUCCUGCACGCGGCGUUGCUGCGUCAGGCUUUCGCCCAUUGCGCAAUAUCCCUUACUGCUGCCUCCCGUAGGAGUCUGGGCCGUUUGUCAGUCCCAGUGUGGGGGGCCACCCUCUCAGGCCCCCGACCCGUCGUUGGCUUGGUGAGCCGUUACCUCACCAACUACCUGAUGGGCCGCAGCCCCCUCCCUCGGCCCCUAAAGUUUCUUGAGAGCCUUCUAAGCGCUCCCAAGCUAUGCGGUAUUAGCAGCACUUUCGUACUGUUGUCCCCCGCCGAGGGGCAGGUCAGCUACGUGUUACGCACCCGGUCGCCACUAGAUACAUUGCUGUAUCCCGUUCGACUUGCAUGUAUUAGGCACGCCGCCAGCGUUCAUCCUGAGCCAGGAUCAAACUCU
rnacentral:rRNA from 1 species